AUUAAGCAUUUUAAACAUUCUCAAUCAUCAAACCAAGCUCUUUAAGCAUCCUGGGACAGAUUCUAAAACAUUUUAAAUUAGCAAUCUUUAAACAAUCCUCAGGUUUUCAAUCACAUCACAACAUCACAACCAGUCAAUAACACAAGCUCAUUAUCAAGAAGGGAUAGUAAUAGCUUACAGUCAAGGAACCUGUUUGGUUCCUUGAACCUCCAGUGGCAUUAAGGUCAUGGCUUGUUGGAUCUGAGAGUUACAGGUCGUCACCCAACCUCUCUUCCUUCUACUCAUGACCAUCUUCUUGUUUCUCCAGCUCAAAGACCCCUCCUUUCUCCAUACAUACAGUCACCAUCUUCUAGACAUCUUCUUUCUUGUAACCAGAUGCAACAAACACUUGGACAAGGUGUUUUGGAGUCAGGUUAGCUAGGCCUCUCCAUCUACCUUUGCUUCCAACG
rnacentral:lncRNA from 1 species